AGGCGGUUAGUUUAGAAAAAAUACUUGAUUUCGGCUCAAGAGCUUGUGGUGAAACCCCCCAAACACCUG
rnacentral:tRNA from 1 species